CAUUUAAACUCCGCACCUUUCACAGGUGUGGAGACAGUUUCCAAGAUGAAUUUAUCAAUAUAAAAAGUUAUGUGCUUUUAGACGAGUGUUUGUGUAAAUGAGAAGAGUGAAAAUAAACAUCUUUAAAGAAAACUUGCACAUUACUUUCACAAGUCUACCCAUCGACAAAACUUGUUGUCUGGGUCUUAUUGAAAGGAAACCUGAAACUGAUUCCUCUCAAUACAAGUCUGGACUACCCAGUGUAGAGUUGUAUGAUCUGAGCCAGUACAACAUUUAGUCGUAUACUCUCUAGUCUGGUCUACCCAGUGUAGAGUUGACCCAGCACGUUUUAUACAUCAAACGCAGCCUAGCAAGAUCACAGUACCCAACCAUAAGAAUCGUUUUAAAUAUAAAUCCUUUAAUUCUG